CAGAUUAGAGCUUGUAAAAAGCAUUUUAUUUACACUAAAAAGUUAGUUGUGCGAAUCAAUUUAAUUUGA
rnacentral:tRNA from 1 species